rnacentral:rRNA from 1 species
UGUAGCAAUACAUGAGUACAGCGGCGCACGGGUGAGUAACACGUGGAUAACCUGCCUCAAAGUGGGGAAUAACACCGGGAAACCGGUGCUAAUACCGCAUAUUCUGACGAGAUCUGUGGAUUUUGUCAGGAAAGGAGCAAUUCGCUAUGAGAGGGGUCCGCGGCUGAUUAGCUAGUUGGUGAGGUAAUGGCUCACCAAGGCCACGAUCAGUAGCCGGUCUGAGAGGACGGUCGGCCACACUGGAACUGAGACACGGUCCAGACUCCUACGGGAGGCAGCAGUGGGGAAUUUUUCGCAAUGGGGGAAACCCUGACGAAGCAAUGCCGCGUGGAUGAUGAAGUAUCUCGGUACGUAAAAUCCUUUCGACGGGGACGAAGCCGCAAGGUUGACGGUACCCGUAGAAGAAGCCCCGGCUAACUCCGUGCCAGCAGCCGCGGUAAUACGGGGGGGGCAAGCGUUGUUCGGAAUUACUGGGCGUAAAGGGUGCGUAGGCGGCUUUCUAAGUUGGAUGUGAAAACUCUGGGCUCAACCCAGAGACUGCAUCCAAAACUGGGAGGCUAGGGUCCUGGAGGGGAGAGCGGAAUUCCUGGUGUAGCGGUGAAAUGCGUAGAUAUCAGGAGGAACACCGGUGGCGAAGGCGGCUCUCUGGACAGGUACCGACGCUGA